AUUGAACGCUGGCGGCAGGCUUAACACAUGCAAGUCGAGCGAGCGGCGGACGGGUGAGUAAUGUCUGGGAAACUGCCUGAUGGAGGGGGAUAACUACUGGAAACGGUAGCCAAUACCGCAUACUAUCAGAUGUGCCCAGAUGGGAUUAGCUAGUAGGUGGGGUAAUGGCUCAUCUAGGCGACGAUCCCUAGCUGGUCUGAGAGGAGGACCAGCAAAACUGGAACUGAGACACGGUCCAGACUCCUACGGGAGGCAGCAGUGGGGAAUAUUACACAAAGGGCGCAAGCCUGAUGCAGCCAUGCCGCGUGUAUGAAGAAGGCCUUCGGGUUGUAAAGUACUUUCAUCGAGGAGGCGUUACUCGCAGAAGAAGCACCGGCUAACUCCGUGCCAGCAGCCGCGGUAAUAC
rnacentral:rRNA from 1 species